rnacentral:rRNA from 1 species
GGAAGCUACUAAGAGCUUACGGUGGAUGCCUUGGCGCCAAGUGCCGAUGAAGGACGUGGGUCACUGCGAUAAGCCUCGGGGAGCCGUGAACAGGCGUUAUAUCCGGGGAUGUCCGAAUGGGGAAACCCGCCGCUGCGAACCAGCGGCAUCCUGCACUGAACACAUAGGUGCAUGGAGGGGAACCUGGGGAACUGAAACAUCUAAGUACCCAGAGGAAAAGAGAUUAUUCCCUGAGUAGUGGCGAGCGAAAGGGGAACAGCCCAAACCAUCCCGGCUUGCCGGGAUGGGGUUGUAGGGCCAGGCAUAUGGGAGUUACAAAACAAACUGUUAGCAGAAUGGUGUGGGAAAGCCAACCAGAGAGGGUAAUAGUCCCGUACGCGAAAACGGUUUGUCUCCCGUCUGGUACCUGAGUACUGCCGGGCACGCUAAUCCGGCAGGAAGCUGGGGAGUCCACUCUCCAAGGCUAAAUACACUUGGCGACCGAUAGUGAACAAGUACCGUGAGGGAAAGGUGAAAAGUACCCCGGUGAGGGGAGUGAAAUAGAACCUGAAACCGUAAGCUUACAAGCAGUCGAAGGGCUAAUGGUGGGUCGGUGCCCCGGUGAAAGCCGGGUGCGCGCCACUAGGCCUGACGGCGUGCCUCUUGGAGAAUGAGCCUGCGAGUUAAUCUUUGCGGCGAGGUUAAGGGAGUGACACCCGGAGCCGUAGCGAAAGCGAGUCUGAAUAGGGCGCCACAGUCGCAAGGAUUAGACCCGAAACCGGGUGAGCUACCCAUGGCCAGGGUGAAACGAGUCUAACCACUCGUGGAGGCCCGAACCUACUAACGUUGCAAAGUUAGGGGAUGAGCUGUGGGUAGAGGUGAUAUGCCAAACGAACUCGGAGAUAGCUGGUUCUCCCCGAAAUAGCUUUAGGGCUAGCGCCAUGCGUUCAGCACCGGAGGUAGAGCACUGAAUGGGCUAAGGGGCUUAUCGCUUACUGACCCCAAUCAAACUCCGAAUGCCGGUGUUCCACAGCAUGGUGGUCGGACUACGGGUGAUGAGAUUCGUGGUCGAAAGGGAAACAGCCCAGAUCAUCGGCUAAGGUCCCAAAAUUCCAACUAAGUGGGAAACGAUGUGGGGUUACUGAAACAACCAGGAGGUUGGCUUAGAAGCAGCCACCCUUUAAAGAGUGCGUAAUAGCUCACUGGUCUAGUGAUCCUGCGCGGAAAACUUAACGGGGCUAAGUUGGAUACCGAAGCCAUGGGCUUCAGCGUUAGCUGGAGCGGUAGGGGAGCGUUCUGUUCGCGGUGAAGGUUGACCGUGAGGACAGCUGGAGCGGACAGAAGUGAGAAUGCAGGCAUGAGUAGCGUAAAACACGUGAGAACCGUGUUCGCCGUAUGUCUAAGGUUUCCGACGCCAGGUCAAUCCGCGUCGGGUUAGUCGGGCCCUUAGCCGAGGCCGAAAGGCGUAGGCGAUGGACAGCCGGUCAACAUUCCGGCACCGCUUAAGAGGAGUGAUGGAGGGACGCAGCGAGGUAGGCCAGCCUGUGAUUGGUCGUGCAGGUGCAUGGUGUGUCAGGCGUUGAGGUUUGUAGGAAAAUCCGCAAACUGAGCUGAGACACCGUGGCGAGCCUCCAAGGCAUAAGUGAGCUGAGCCUUGCUGCCGAGAAAAGCUUCUAAACGUUGAAUCUUAAGCGCCCGUACCGCAAACCGACACUGGUAGACGGGUAGAAUAUACCAAGGCGAACGGGAGAACCCUCGUUAAGGAACUAGGCAAAUUAGCCCCGUAACUUCGGGAGAAGGGGUGCCUUUCGACGUGAAUGAAUAAUGAGCGUUGAGAGGUCGCAGUGAAAGGGUCCUAGUGACUGGUUACCAAAACCACAGGUCUCUGCAAAGCCGAAAGGCGAUGUAUAGGGGCUGACGCCUGCCCAGUGCCGGAAGGUUAAGGGGAGGGGUUAGCGCAAGCGAAGCUCUGAACCGAAGCCCCGGUGAACGGCGGCCGUAACUAUAACGGUCCUAAGGUUCUUGACGCGAGCCUUAGUAAAACCGAACUAUAUGCGGGAAACUCCUCAUACAGCCACGCAGUACUCGCCUGAACACGGUUCGGGCAGUAAAAAUCUGCUGGACACGGGGACAAUCCGCAGGAAAGGCUUCCAGAAAGGAAAACUUGAAUGGAAGAAUCCUCAGAGACUUUACGUUCGGUCUCGCAAUCGAGACUGGAAGCGCAGUGGGUGGUUGGUUUCGUAGAUGGUGAGGGAUGCUUUUAUGUGGGUAUCAACUCGCAUCCAGAGAUGAAAGCCGGUUUUCAGGUUUUACCGGAAUUCACGGUGGUGCAGCACGAACGAGAUGUUCAGUUGUUGCAUGCGUUGAAGCAGUUCUUUGGAUGUGGAGUGGUACGCCGCAAUCACGGAGAUCGGAUGGCUUAUCGGGUGCGAAAUAUCCAGCACCUGCGGGAACGGAUUAUCCCGUUCUUUGAAAAGCAUCCGCUCAAAUCCAAAAAGCAGGUGGAUUUUAUGAAGUUUCGUAAAAUCCUGCUCUUGAUGGAGCGUGGGGAACAUCUCAAACCGGAAGGAAUCGAACAAAUCCGCGAAAUUGCUUCCAAAAUGAACACUCAGCGAGAAAGAUAAAGUCCGGCUCCUCUGGAAACAGAGUGAGGUCAACCGAGCGAAAUUCCUUGUCGGGUAAGUUCCGACCCGCACGAACGGCGUAACAACUAGGACACUGUCUCAACGAGGGACCCGGCGAAAUUGAAAUGGCUGUGAAGAUGCGGCCUACCCGCAGCAGGACAAAAAGACCCCGUGGAGCUUUACUGCAUCCUGGCAUUGAGUUUGGGCAUCGUCUGUGUAGGAUAGGUGGGAGUCUGAGAAGCUGGGG